rnacentral:rRNA from 1 species
AUCAUCUAUUGAAAUAAUAUUAAAUUCACAGUACCUCAUUAUCCAAAACCAGGAC